AGAGAUUCAUAAAUUGAACAGAGAAGAAUAAAAAACGCUACAUAAUUUUAUUGACAACGCUUCCAGCCAGUGAUAUAGUCGGAAUUGUGAAGGACAAAUCUUCACGGCAUUUGAAGAUGAAGGGAAUGUUAUCGACAUGCAAGGUAAAGUAAAAUGGUUUAACGCUGAAAAGGGCUAUGGCUUUAUCGAGACGGUAGAAGGCAACGACGUGUUCGUUCACUUCUCCGCUAUCCAAUCGGAAGGCUUCAAGACCUUGGAAGAAGGUCAAGAAGUUGAGUUCGACAUCGUGGAAGGCGCUCGCGGUCCACAAGCGGCUAACGUAAUCAGACUGUAAUCAUACCGACGUGAGUCGAAUUAUAUAUGAUUCCGAUUAGCUCUACCCAAGGUAACCUGCUGAGUUUUUUA
rfam:Paenibacillus popilliae ATCC 14706 DNA, contig: contig027.